UGAAUGGUGGGAGAAUGCAAAGAAUACAUAUUAUAAACAAACUCUCCGGCCCAGUGUGAUAAUGCUUGGUGGAGCAGCCGUACCUGCAGUAGGACUGGUGUCACUCACAGGUUGAUCCUGGAGCUCUACAUUGCGGUAUAAUCGAAGUCCCUAAAGGCUUCCGCAAUCUCCUUUUCCAUGGCCAAGGAACCCUCGGAGGGAGGAGUUAGAACUAGAUGUUGAUCUUUAUCCUCGGAAAGUCUAACAUCCUCAGGUAGCUCUUUAAGCAGCCGCCAGCAACGUACUCCAUCAGAAAGAAUAGAUGGUAUUCUGACUGGAACGUGGCGUGGAUAUCCACAACGAAAGGGUGGUCAGCAACGGCGAAAGCAACCCGUUUCUCUAGCAAGAUCCUGAAUAUUAAAAGCAUUCAUUGUCAGAACAAGGGACAUGGAUUUUCAGGGCAUAGGAUCUUUUGGUUGCCGC